rnacentral:rRNA from 1 species
UACGUAGGGCGCAAGCGUUAUCCGGAAUUAUUGGGCGUAAAGAGCUCGUAGGCGGUUUGUCGCGUCUGCCGUGAAAGUCCGGGGCUCAACUCCGGAUCUGCGGUGGGUACGGGCAGACUAGAGUGAUGUAGGGGAGACUGGAAUUCCUGGUGUAGCGGUGAAAUGCGCAGAUAUCAGGAGGAACACCGGUGGCGAAGGCGGGUCUCGUGGGCCGUAACUGACGCUGAGGAGCGAAAGCGUGGGGAGCAAACAGG